rnacentral:lncRNA from 1 species
AACUACAACUCAACCCCAACACUAUCUCACCCUAAUGUGAAAAACAGGGCAGGUCUUUCUAAUGACUGUAGAACUAUCAGGAAAAAGUUCUUAUCACAAUACAUUAAAGUAUAAAGUUUUAUUGCAUAUACCUGCACUAAAUAUAGUAAAGCUAAGUAGUACAUAAAAUUAUACCAUACAAUAGCCCCGAUAUCCUUCUAUUCAUAAAUCUAUUUCUUUCCAUCUGUUGCUCGAAUAUGACCCAAUGACCAGACAGAGACUAGCAGGGGCAGUAUGACCUUCUCCACUAUGGGAGGAGGGUGAGGGGAAAGGCAGGCAAGAGAGAAAAGGGAAUGGGGGGAAGGACAAGUCCCAGAACAGGGGUCGUGGACCAAAGGUAGAGAAACAAGGGAUUCCGUAAAGGCUUUUUAAGAGACCCAACAUGGNNNNNNNNNNNNNNNNNNNNNNNNNNNNNNNNACUCGCGCUGUCUCAGCUGCUUCCGUCUUUUCUACUUCCGUCCUCUUCUUGUCUCACCGCUCCUCUUCGUUGCGGAGGCCGCUGGGAAAUGUAGUUUGGGGAAAGUGGCGCUGCUGAGUCUUCUUAACUGGUCUCACGUCCCUUCAAGCCCCGUUUACUAGUCCACUGCGCUUGAAGCAGGGCGUUACUUAAGCCGCCCAGGAAACGGUUCCUUGGGAUUCGUGCAGCGGGCCAAGCAAUAUGUUUCUGCUAUACAGUACUCAUAUUCUGCCAUCAGCACCCUCCUUCACUACCCCGGGCACCAGCUCUAUAUGUCUCACAGAUUUGUGGGGAAUGAAUGAAUAUAAUAAGAGGACCAGGAGUAACAGAAGGAUGUCAUGUUUGAAGACUUCUGCUGAAAUUGACAUUUGUUGGCUAUGAAAGGAACCAAUGCCUGAGAUGUGUCAUAUAUUCCAAUAUCCUCACAAAACAGAAUGUUGUGCUUUCUAGUUGUUGUGCUGAUAAGUAACAUUGUGCUGAUGGUAAAUGAAAGUGUGCAACUGUCUAAGGCUGCACACUUAAAUGGAAUGAAAAAAAAAGAAAAGCUAUGUGAUCUUUGUACACAGUCCCAAAUUAACCAUGGGAUAUACCAUUAUUAAACUACCACGGUCUCUCAGACUCAAGUUCUAUUAGAAGUCUUCAUUAAACUGGGCGUUAGAGAAAUGAGGUGGGGCAG